GUCGCUCCACUCAUGUGCCAAACCUAACUCAACUUUUUGAAAUUUGUUAGUAUUAAGAUCCGCAAUCUUGUAAUCUCUUAAAGACUUCUUUGUUUUGAAUUUUAUUUAUUUAGGAUUCGCUCGCGAGUGCUUUUAUUGAUGUGUGUAUCGAACUGACUUGUAAUAAUGUGUCAAAUUUGCAACCGGUUGAAAUCUUGGUGUACGGACAGUGAUGUUUACCGCAGCUGGGU
rnacentral:lncRNA from 1 species